AAUCAAUGAAAUGCGAAUGAAAUAAUUUUUAAAGUUUCUUUCGUUUCAUGAACGUUUUUUGAGUAUCAUUUCAAAUCAAUUUCAUAAGGAAUCGCUAUAUUAUAGUACAUCGACGCGCGACAACGUCGUCCAUCUGGUGGUGAUGCACUGUACUAUUGGUACUGGCUCUGAACACGAGCAUAGAAAGAGAAAAAGAGAGAAAGAGAGACACAGGUACGAGACGAGCUUGUGGUGUGAGGUAGUCGUAGCCACCAGUCAACAGCGGAGACGGAGACGGAGAGUCCGAGGUAGCCCGUGCCUGUAGCUGCCCGUGGCUCGUUGUAACUCGUUGUAACGUGACGCGAAGGUGUGCCAAGCUCUUUCGGUUGCCUGUUACUUCGUCCGAAGACGCCCGAUUGCACAUCUACCAUAGUGUCGCAUAUCGAAAGUGUCGAUAGUAGUGUUGUGUGAUCUAUCGGCCUAUCUAUCCUCGUGUGCUAGCCGAAAAAACUGUACCAGCCGAGUUAUAUAUCAUUGUGGAAAACUGUCAAGAUUGUCGUGUCCCAGACGCUGCCUUUCAACCCGAAUGCUUUAGACAAUCCUCGUUGCGGUUGUCGAGUUGCACGAAACAUAAGGCACACAAGCAUCAAUCUGACAAAUGUUUGAACUUACUAUGAUCGAUAGACAUCCAGAUCGGAUG